rnacentral:misc_RNA from 1 species
GUAGGUGAACCUGCGGAAGGAUCAUUACAAAAACAAAAUCCAAAUCACACCAAUAUGUGCUCUUUUGACGCAGAAGGUCUUUGUGUGUGUGUGUGUGUGCUUGUAUGUAAGGCAGUUUGUAUGUAUGUAUGUGUGUGUGUGUAUACGAUUGUGUGAGUGUGGAAACACACCCAUAACUUUCUCACAUACACACACACACACACACACACACUUUCAUCUUUACACACAUACACACACACACACAUCCCCC